CCUGGAUUUAUAUUGCUACACCUCCUGUGCAGUAUAUCUUAUUUACUCUGUUUCAAUAGGUUUUUGGUGGAUUCCUAUGUUUAUCCAGUUUUAGAGCUCUCCUUUGUUAGGUCUUUUUCCCUCUAUCUCUCUAUACAAAUUUUUGUAAGAGAACUUGAACCACAUAUCCCUGGAUAGCCCUGAUCUGGGUGAACAACAUAUCCAAAAAUCACCCAGAUCAAAGGUUCAUAAUUUCUAUGAAAGUCUCUUUUGACCGACCGCACGCAUGAUUUCAUGCCCAAAACAGUUCCAGAGAAUUUGGCUGUGCGGCCGGUCUAUUUUCAAUACUAAGUUCCGUUCGAAUGCACGAACGGGAGCCGUUUGUGUAAAUAAUCAAGUUUAAAGUGGCGUUCAAAUUGUCGAACGCUGUUCGACUCCCGUCAAAGAGUUGAAGUCCCAGAGAAAGUAAAGUUCAGCAGUGUUUGUGCCGUCGCGUGUCAGAUUUGAGGUCCAUGGGGGCCGCUUCGGUGAGGGUGUGGGGACG